rnacentral:rRNA from 1 species
UACGGAGGGUGCAAGCGUUAUCCGGAUUCACUGGGUUUAAAGGGUGCGUAGGCGGUCUGAUAAGUCAUCUGUGAAAUCUAUGGGCUCAACCCAUAGUCUGCAGGCGAAACUGUCGGGCUUGAGUAUGGGAGAGGUGAGUGGAAUUUCCGGUGUAGCGGUGAAAUGCGUAGAUAUCGGAAGGAACACCUGUGGCGAAAGCGGCUCACUGGACCAUUACUGACGCUGAUGCACGAAAGCUAGGGGAGCAAACAGG